AUGCCCAUGCAGUUUUGAGGGAAAUCCACAAAUUAACCAAAAACAUGUCAUUUUGAGCUAAUUUUGAUUACCACUCAAAUUAACCAAACUUAGCAGCUUAAACACAGUACAUAUACAACAUUUUUCUGCUGAAAAGCCCUAGUAGCCACACCUUGCAAACAGAUCAAAAUUUCACUCUCUCUCAAAUUCUCAUUUUGGCUCACUUGAACUUUUUCUGAAAAAACCUCAAAGAGCACGAACCUUGGUG
rnacentral:lncRNA from 1 species